UAUAGGUCUUCGGGCCACUACAUGGAUAUCUGUAGUAACAUAGAGCUAAUACAUGCAACAUAGUCUGACUUUUUGGAAGGACUAGCACUUAUUAGAUAUUAAACCAAUAUCCUUUCGGGGAUAGUUAGGUGAUUCAUAGUAACUGAACAAAUCACAUGGCCUUGAGCCGGUGAUGUUUCAUUCAAGUUUCUGCCCUAUCAACUAGAUGGUAGUAUAUAGGACUACCAUGGUAGUAACGGGUAACGGAGGAUUGGGGUUUGACGCCGGAGAAGGAGCAUGAGAAACGGCUACUAUUUCUAAGGAAAGCAGCAGGCGCGCAAAUUAUUCAAUGGAAACAAAUUUCCGAAAUAGUGACAAAAAAUAACGAUGCUGGGCACUUCGUGUCUAGUAAUUGGAAUGAGUACAAUUUAAAACCCUUAACGAGUAACAAUUAGAGGGCAAGUCUGGUGCCAGCAGCCGCGGUAAUUCCAGCUCUAAUAGCGUAUAUUAAUAUUGUUGCAGUUAAAAAGCUCGUAGUUGAAAAUUGGAACUUUCAUGGUAUUGGUUUACCUAUUGGUGAACUAUAUCAUAGGUUCCUUCCUACUAGAAUUCGACUCUGUUCUUAACUGAGUGGAGUAGCUGGCUUACGGGUUAGUCGAUAGGCUGUUAUUUCUCCACUAAUGAGCAAGGAGGGGUAAAACUUUCUGAGUGAGUUAAGUGGGUCAAGGGAUGAUGGUUUAUUGGAAUUCUAGUUCAUUUACUUUGAGAAAAUUAGAGUGUUCAAAGCAGCCUCUUGGGGCUCUGAAUAUAUUAGCAUGGGAUAAUAGAAUAGGAUCUUUACAGUACAUUUAUUGGUUUUAGCUGAUUUAAAGAUAAUGAUUAAUAGGGACAGUUGGGGGUAUUCAUAUUGGGUGGUUAGCGGUGAAAUGCUCGGAUCCAUUCAAGAUGAACUAAAGCGAAAGCAUUUACCAAGGAUGUUUUCAAUAAUCAAGAACGAAAGUUAAGGGAUCGAAGACGAUUAGAUACCGUCGUAGUCUUAACUAUAAACUAUGCCGACCAGGGAUAUGGGUUGCUAUGAUAAUACAUUCGUGUUAUCGAUUUCUUCC
rnacentral:rRNA from 1 species